rnacentral:rRNA from 1 species
GUCUAUGGCCAUGCCACCCUGAACAAGCCCGAUCUCAUCUGAUCUCGGAAGCUAAGCAGGGUUGGACCUGGUUAGUAGUCGAAUGGGAGAUCACCUAGGAAUACCAGGUGCUGUAGGUG